rnacentral:lncRNA from 1 species
AGUCUGGCCAGCAUAGUUUUUGUUGAAAUGUGGCUUCAUCACUAUUCCUUGGAGAUGUAUCAAAAAAUGCAGUCCCCUCAUGCCAAGCUGGAGGUUCUGCACUACCGACUCAGUGUCUCCAGCGCCCUCUACAGCCCUGCCCAACCCAGCCUCCAGGCCCUCCACGCCUACCAAGAGUCGUUCACGCCUACUGAGGAGCAUGUGUUGGUGGUGCGCCUGCUGCUGAAGCACCUGCACGCCUUUGCCAACAGCCUGAAGCCAGAGCAGGCCUCACUCUCCGCCCACUCCCACGCCACCAGCCC